UGGUACAAAAUCUGGAGGUGGUUCGUAAGCUGGGAAAGCACUGAGAAAAGAAGAACAAGAAAAUACCAAGGUUCUCCUCAUUAAUGCGAUCUUACUUGCACAUGCCAGUUGCGACAAUUGGAAAACAAGAUGGUUGACAACCAUAAAGACAUGAGCAAUGUUACAAUUCAGAAUUGUGGCUGCUGGAGAAAGGGAUGUGAUCAUAAGACAUUCUCAUCAUGACUCAGACUUUAUAAUAUAACUAUUCCUAUUUUGAUUUUUGUUUGUAAAUGUAGGCAUGCCCAAGACCGAAGCCCUCUAAAAACUAUAUAGAUACAUCAUAAUUGGUUUUUUGGUUUACCAUUUUUACUUUGGGCACCCAUUGCAUACUUCCGAUAUAUUUGGGUUGUGACCCCCUUUCUGUUAGGUGCUUUUAGAUUAAUUUACCACUGACUAUAAAAAAUACAUUGGUAUAUGAAAUUUUCGUUGAGCUAAAGAGGUUACUCCAUGACCUCUUUACAGGUGCGUAGUUCUAAGAGAGCCAUGAAAUAUGAGAAACUAUUGGCUAGGUUGAAGAAACUGAUUUCUAUUCUGCCUACUAUUUGGCCAAGCUAAUUCUGCUAUAUGAGAGGUGAAACUGAAAAUUUUAAGUAAGAUAUGGUGAAUUCUAUUUUGUGUUAUCAUCAUGAAUAACACCUAUUUAAUAUCUGCAUACUACUGAUAUUGAAUCUGUAAUGGACAAUAUCUCUUGGAUUCUUUGAAGACGUCUACAGACUGGUCCAUCUUAUGCCAAAUCCAUCCCACUGAGUCAAGUCAUAUGGAUACCGAAUAAUCAAGAAUAAAAAUUUCCUAUAGAUGGGAUAGACAAGAUAAGGUUCCAAGUUCAGAGUGUAAGUUAUUCUCCAAUUCUAGUUGAGCAACGAAAGGAGUCAAAGCCAUUUGCCCCUAUGGUGAUUUCGGAGCAGGACAAGAGAAUUAAAGAACUGACAGCAGAGUUGGAAAAUGCAAGUCAGAGGUGUGAGGCAUAUUGAGCCAGUCUGCUUGCUAUUUUGAAAGAUAUGGAGGAAGAGAAAUUAAAGAUAGCAGUGAAAGUUCAGAACACAAGGCUGAAUCUCAAAGGUUGAACUCAGAGAGAUGGUGGGCGUGCCUUAUCCGUCAUCGCCUUCAUCAUGUAUACUACAAAAAUAGCAGAAACUAAAGAGUGUGAGUUGGGUUGGUUUACAUUGUGAUGGACUACCCAUGAUCUUUACAUAUUUUUCUUCAGUGACCAGAAAAGAGAGUACAGUUUUUGUUUUUUUUUUUGUUGCCUUAGCCCUAGCACCAUUGGUGUGAUGUGUAUUUGUUGUGAAGAAUUCUAAUAGGCUUGUGUUGUUAUUUCAGUCUGCUUCUUGUUCA